rnacentral:lncRNA from 1 species
GCAUCCCAGUCUUCCGCGUCCACGCUCCUUCCGGCCGUCCGCGUGCAAAAUCCACCGCGAUCCAGCCUCUCCCAGACAUCCCGCGUCCGUGAUCUCAGCGUACGCAUCCCAGCUCUUCCGUCUUCCUCGCAAUCCACGCAUCGUAGCUCCUCUUGAAUCUCCAACGAUCCAGGUUCUCCCAGUUCACAGCGCGUCCCAGCAUGCCACGUUCGUCCGAGUCCGCAUCCCAGCUCCAAACCUCCUUCCGUUCGCGAUCAGAUUUCGUCCGCGCUUCCCAACAUGCCACGUCCGUGAACCAGCUCCCCCGAGUUCCCAGCAACCGUGAUCCCAGCUCCAAACCUCCUUCCGAUCCCGAGCAUCUCCAUUCCAGCGUCACAGCAAGAUCACACGCUCCCGGAUCUUUCUCCCAUGCAUCCAAGGCCCUUCUACCAGAUCCCACACGUUCACAGAGCAUCUUAGCGGCCUCAUGCGAUCAGCCUUCCAGCCACGUCCGUGAAGCCUUCCCGCAUCCGAUUCUUCCGGAUCCACGCGUUCAUCCUUCCAUUCACGAUUAGAUCUCGUCCGCGUUCACAGCAAAUCCCGUGAUGCAUUCCAAAGCUUCCACAUUCCAGCUCCUCUCGGAUCCCUAACGAUCCAGCCCCAGCAUCUUCCUCGCAGUCCACGCGUCCAUCCGUGCUUCAGCCGAGCCCGUGUCACAUGCGUCCGCCCGCUUCUUCUGCCUCUCCAAUCUUGGUUGAGCCUCUCCGCGUCCGGGAUACUCGGCAGCCAACACGAGAGGAGCAUCCCGUGUGAUCAGGGGGUCCACUGGGAGAUAUAAGGAGCUCUCUUCUCGGCUGGAGGGGAAGGGAUUUGUAAAAAAAGAACAGAGCCUCAAUCCCUCAUUCGAAAAACAGAGGAGGCCCUCUGUCAAAAGAAAAGAAAAAAGAAAGGGAAACAGGGCCUCCCCUGUUUCCGAAAAGAAAAGAAAGAAAGGAAAAGGGGAGAAUGAAAGGGGGACUCAUUUUUAAAAUGAGUGGCUGAUUUCUUAGGAAGGGAGAUGGAGGAACCUUUGAUGUAUUGCUCUUUGAAGUAAACUCUAAACUUUUGCCUUGAAUGAAUUGUAUUUACUGAUAUAUUUUUGAUCCAUGCAUAGUUAUUUCGUA